rnacentral:hammerhead_ribozyme from 1 species
AUCCAGAUGACGAGUCCCUGAUAGGGCGAAACACGUUUAUUGGAU